GCCGUGCCCUCAGGGUCCAGUUUUCCCAGGAAUCCCUUACGUGGGGGAUUCCUGGAAAUACUGUUCUUGGGGCCACGGC
rnacentral:pre_miRNA from 1 species